UUACCACGAACCGAACCGUCACCGUAUGGUGUGCCUGGUUGGUUCCGCCAAUCUAGGUCGUGGUAACGCC
rnacentral:sRNA from 1 species